rnacentral:rRNA from 1 species
AUUGAACGCUGGCGGCAGGCCUAACACAUGCAAGUCGAGCGGAUGAAGGGAGCUUGCUCCUGGAUUCAGCGGCGGACGGGUGAGUAAUGCCUAGGAAUCUGCCUGGUAGUGGGGGAUAACGUCCGGAAACGGGCGCUAAUACCGCAUACGUCCUGAGGGAGAAAGUGGGGGAUCUUCGGACCGCACGCUAUCAGAUGAGCCUAGGUCGGAUUAGCUAGUUGGUGGGGUAAAGGCCUACCAAGGCGACGAUCCGUAACUGGUCUGAGAAGGUGAUCAGUCACACUGGAACUGGGACACGGUCCAGACUCCUACGGGAGGCAGCAGUGGGGAAUAUUGGACAAUGGGCGAGAGCAUGAUCCAGCGAUGCCGCGUGUGUGAAGAAGGUCUUCGGAUUGUAAAGCACGUUAAGUUGGGAGGAAGGGCAGUAAGUUAAUACCUUGCUGUUUUGACGUUACCAACAGAAUAAGCACCGGCUAACUACGUG